rnacentral:tRNA from 2 species
GGGCAUGUGGCUCAGUGGUAGAGCGUCGUCCUGAUAAGACGAAGGUCAAUAGUUCGAUUCUAUUCAUGCCCA